rnacentral:lncRNA from 1 species
GGAAGCAUGGCAAAAGCUUCUUCUGCUUGGCUUCUGGGGAGGCCUCAGGGAGCUUUUACUCAUGGCGGAAGGUGAAGCAGAAGUUUGCAUGUCACAUGAUGAGAUCAGUAGCAAGAGACAGAUGUUGGCGGUGGCAGGUGCCACACACUUUUAAACAACCAGAUCUCUUUAGAACUCAAGAUCGUGAGGACAACACCAAGACAUGAGGGAUCACCUCCAUGACCCAAACACCUACCACCAGGCCCCACCUCCAACACUGGGUAAAUUUCAACGUGAGAUUGGAGGGGACAAAUAUCCAAACGAUAUCAGUGAUGGUGUUGAUCAUGAUGAAACUCAAAGCAAACUGUGGGUGACAGGCCCCUCAUGGAACUAGCAUUAGAACUCAGGAGUCUCUCCCCAUGCCAGCCUUCUUGAUGUUUGACUCAAUUGACCGUGGGAUUUUCUAGGACCCCUGAGGCUGUUCUGGGCUUGGGUCUUCAACUCUGAACCCAGGACUGAGUAGAAACUGGAGCCGAGUCAUCUACACAUCCAGCCGGCCAUGAACCAGUGCAGCUUUGGAGGUAGCUCCCAUCUGCUCUCCAUCAAGAGACAUAGGUGCUGUCUGUUAGAAGAGAGACCCGAUGGUGACUUGCUUCACUUUCACUCUCAAAUUCAGUAAGACCAUGCCAAUUAAAAGAGGAAAUUCCAGGAGUCAGCAGAAAGGAAACAAAAAGAGAAGGUGAUAGAGGAGAGGGGAGACCAAGUGAAGAGGAUGGAGAAGAAACUAUAAAAAUAAGAGAAGAA